UACGAAGGGGGCUAGCGUUGCUCGGAAUCACUGGGCGUAAAGGGUGCGUAGGCGGGUCUUUAAGUCAGGGGUGAAAUCCUGGAGCUCAACUCCAGAACUGCCUUUGAUACUGGCGAUCUCGAGUCCGGGAGAGGUGAGUGGAACUGCGAGUGUAGAGGUGAAAUUCGUAGAUAUUCGCAAGAACACCAGUGGCGAAGGCGGCUCACUGGCCCGGUACUGACGCUGAGGUGCGAAAGCGUGGGGAGCAAGCAGG
rnacentral:rRNA from 1 species